rnacentral:lncRNA from 1 species
CCCAAGCGUUCGCCACAGCCCCUAACCUGCAGCAGACCUGGCCUCUUUGCUCAACUCCAGUAUUCCUCUACUCAACCGAACAGCAUCGCCACCCUUUCCAAGGUUAAGCGCUUUGAGAAACUGUUGCCUGGCGGAUAUCAGCACCGCCGGCAGGAAUGCAGGUAUCCGUGGGUAACCGCAAAACUCCAAAACGACCAAACCUGCAUCUCUAGCCAAACGGGUCUUAUCUUGCUUCGGAAACCAUCCCUCCGUGCCUCCCUGACCCAGACUCACGGACUCCUACACCGAGUGGAUGUGACUUUGAGCAAGCGAGAAUUUCUUCAUCGGGAAAGUAAGAGGGCUGGGCUCACGCUGAAUUCUUUUCCAGCCCUCACGUUCUGCCUCCUCGCCGGAGCGGCAGGGCGGCGCAGGGCAAGAGCCCCGGGCUUGACACCGUUUAAAAAGCCCACGUCCGCAUCCCUGGGACGGCGGGCCACCCGCCUCUCCGAGUCCCCGGGACCUCACAGGGCCCGACCGCGGCGUGGACCGGAGGACUCCGAGGAGGGCCCCGCCGCCCCCCGGGGGCUCCGGCCGGCAGCGGGAAGGGGCGGCGCAGGCCCCGCCGCGCGGCGCGUCCCUCCGGCCGCGGGUCCCCUCCGCCCGCCGCCCCCGGGCAGCGUCCCGGCCCGCCCCGCCCCGCCAGCCCCUGACCUGCUCUCCGCCGCCCGGCGGUCCCUCGGCGCGGCGGGCAGCGGCGGCCGCCCGGCCCGGGCCCGCUGUCACCUCCGCCCCUGGAAGCGGCGGGCGGGUCGAUCCGGUGUGACUCAGCGCGGCCGCCCCGCCUCCCGCCUCCCGCCCGGGCUUCCGCCUGCGCGGCCCGUGCGGCCGGGGGCGCCACGCGCGGUCCCGCGCGCCCCUCCCGGGUCGGCCCCGCGCUCGCGCCCCCUGGCGGCCCGCCCCGCGACGUCAGAGCGGGCGGCGCUCCGAGGACCUCUUCCCGGGGAAACUGAGGCACCCUCCGCUGCUCGCGGGGCGUUCGGUCCUGCGUGCACAGCCGGCCACCAGCAAAUUCCUUUCGUCCCUUGCUGCGCCCUCACCCCCCCGCACCGCCCUCCAACCUAG